rnacentral:rRNA from 1 species
UAGGGAAUCUUCCGCAAUGGGCGAAAGCCUGACGGAGCGACGCCGCGUGAGCGAGGAAGGCCUUCGGGUCGUAAAGCUCUGUUGUCAGGGAAGAAGGCGCGCCGUUCGAAGAGGGCGGCGCGGUGACGGUACCUGACGAGGAAGCCCCGGCUAACUACGUGCCAGCAGCCGCGGUAAAACGUAGGGGGCGAGCGUUGUCCGGAAUUACUGGGCGUAAAGCGCGCGCAGGCGGUCCUUUAAGUCUGAUGUGAAAUUCCGCGGCUCAACCGCGGGUGUGCAUUGGAAACUGGGGGACUUGAGUGCGGAAGAGGGGAGCGGAAUUCCCGGUGUAGCGGUGAAAUGCGUAGAGAUCGGGAGGAACACCAGUGGCGAAGGCGGCUCUCUGGUCCGCAACUGACGCUGAGGCGCGAAAGCGUGGGGAGCGAACAGGAUUAGAUACCCUGGUAGUCCACGCCGUAAACGAUGAGUGCUAAGUGUUAGAGGGGAUUGACCCUUUAGUGCUGCAGCUAACGCAUUAAGCACUCCGCCUGGGGAGUAC